UCUGUAGGGAGGCCAAGCAAAUUAGCAUUUCUUCAAGUUAAAGAAGAUUUAUGACAUAAGUCUUCAAGUUUUGUCAACACCUUAGCCAUAACUAGACUAAUGGUAAAAACACAUAAAUGGAUCUCCAAAGCUCGAGCACAGAUUUCAUGGUUCAUUAGCUUUUGAGUUUUGUCUAUUACUGACUAAGUAAAAUUGUUUGUUAGAC
rnacentral:lncRNA from 1 species